rnacentral:rRNA from 1 species
CCUACGGGAGGCAGCAGUGAGGAAUAUUGGUCAAUGGCCGAGAGGCUGAACCAGCCAAGUAGCGUGAAGGAAGAAUGUCCUAUGGGUUGUAAACCUCUUUUAUCAAGGAACAAAGUCACCCACGUGUGGCUGUUUGAGAGUACUUUAUGAAAAAGCAUCGGCUAACUCCGUGCCAGCAGCCGCGGUAAUACGGAGGAUGCGAGCGUUAUCCGGAUUUAUUGGGUUUAAAGGGUGCGUAGGGGGGUUAUCAAGUCAGCGGUAAAAUCGUGGAGCUAAACUCCAUACAGCCGUUGAAACUGAUGAUCUUGAGUGGGCGAGAAGUAGGCGGAAUGCGUGGUGUAGCGGUGAAAUGCAUAGAUAUCACGCAGAACUCCGAUUGCGAAGGCAGCAUACCGGCGCCCGACUGACGCUGAAGCACGAAAGUGUGGGUAUCGAACAGGAUUAGAUACCCUUGUAGUC